UCUUGGUCUUUAGAGGAAGUAAAAGUCGUAACAAGGUUUCCGUAGGUGAACCUGCGGAAGGAUCAUUAAAGAAAUUCAAUAAUUUUGAAAAUGGAUUUUUUUGUUUUGGCAAGAGCAUGAGAGCUUUUACUGGGCAAGAAGACAAGAGAUGGAGAGUCCAGCCGGGCCUGCGCUUAAGUGCGCGGUCUUGCUAGGCUUGUAAGUUUCUUUCUUGCUAUUCCAAACGGUGAGAGAUUUCUGUGCUUUUGUUAUAGGACAAUUAAAACCGUUUCAAUACAACACACUGUGGAGUUUUCAUAUCUUUGCAACUUUUUCUUUGGGCAUUCGAGCAAUCGGGGCCCAGAGGUAACAAACACAAACAAUUUUAUCUAUUCAUUAAAUUUUUGUCAAAAACAAGAAUUUUCGUAACUGGAAAUUUUAAAAUAUUAAAAACUUUCAACAACGGAUCUCUUGGUUCUCGCAUCGAUGAAGAACGCAGCGAAAUGCGAUACGUAAUGUGAAUUGCAGAAUUCCGUGAAUCAUCGAAUCUUUGAACGCACAUUGCGCCCCUUGGUAUUCCAGGGGGCAUGCCUGUUUGAGCGUCAUUUCCUUCUCAAACAUUCUGUUUGGUAGUGAGUGAUACUCUUUGGAGUUAACUUGAAAUUGCUGGCCUUUUCAUUGGAUGUUUUUUUUCCAAAGAGAGGUUUCUCUGCGUGCUUGAGGUAUAAUGCAAGUACGGUCGUUUUAGGUUUUACCAACUGCGGCUAAUCUUUUUUUAUACUGAGCGUAUUGGAACGUUAUCGAUAAGAAGAGAGCGUCUAGGCGAACAAUGUUCUUAAAGUUUGACCUCAAAUCAGGUAGGAGUACCCGCUGAACUUAAGCAUAUCAAUAAGCGGAGGAA
rnacentral:rRNA from 1 species